CCUCCCCCUGGCGCAGUAACGCCUGAGUCUUCUAGAGCACUUUCUAGCCCUGGAGCUAUUGUACCCCUUCACAAAGGGGAGUAAGCAUCAUUGGCUCCAGUUUACAGCUGAGGAGACUGAGGCACGAAAAAAUGAAAUCACUUUCCUGAACUUGUGUGUCGGGUCAGUGGUGAGGCCAGGAUUAGCACAGGAGUCUCCUGGUACUAGUCCAGUGCGCUUUGAAGUAGGUCACACAGGACAGGCUGAAGUGCUAGGGUGAUAUCUACUGUUCAUGCCCAGACUGCUGUGGGGUGGAGGAGGACAGCUUUGUGCUGCCUGUGAACUCUUUAGGGAGCCCUUGACAAAUCUGGAUACCUUCCCCUUUACCACCAUCCUCUGAAACCCAUCCUAAUUGUGGCACCUUUCCCAUUCCCACUCCUCUGGCUCACAGAAAUAGAGCUGGCAGGAGGAACCCACUGAUUUUUGGCUUGGGGGAAAGUUUUCUGUUAUACCUUCAUUUACAUAAAAAUGAUACAUUUGGUCAAAGCAGGACACAUCAGUAGAAUUCCUUAAUGUCUGGUCUAUACACACAGACCGUGGCAGGACACCUAACAGGCAUGGCCAUGCAGGUGGUGGUAAGGACAAGGGAUGGAUUCUCUUGCAACUUAGAGCUCAGACAGGAAGAAGAGGCAAUUAACAGGAGGGAGUUCCUGAUUUGUGUAAACCAGCACUGCUGCUUUAUUAGCUGCAAGCGUUCAUGUUCUGUCAGGGACCACCCCUAGAAAGCAGCUCUCAGCAGCCAGGAGGGUCCACUGCCAAUCACCAACUGCCUUGGAACCUUCUGGUUGCACUGUUCCAUCCCAUCCUGGUUAAACAGAUCCCUGAUGGCUAGAGAAAGAGAAGUUACUUGCAUUGUAGCAUCUAGAGUUCUCUGAGAUGUGCGGUCGCUGUCUGUGUUCUACUGGUGGAUGUGCCUGUGCCUUGGGCACCUGAGACUGGAAGAUUCUUACUAGCAGUGUCUAUUAGCCUGCACCUACACCCUUCUCAUGUUGCACACCAAGAGUAUAAGGGGCAGCCUGGACAGAUUGCUUCUCCAGUUCCUUCACCACCACGAAUCAAGGCAGAGGGGAAGAAGGAGAGGUAGCAGAAUACAGAUAGGGACUACACACCUGAAACUACUUCAGUUACUAUAAGGUUUGAUGUCCAUCUGAAUACCAGCUGUGAAAUGGAGAGUGUAGAUUGGGAUGUUGGACCUUGCCAUGUCCUGGGUCAAGGACUCUGGAAAGAAUUCGAUGCUGACGGAUGGACAGAUUGACAGAUGAAGAAGACUGGAAAAUGGGAGUCACAAGAAUGAUUAUUGCUGUAUCCUGUUGGAUCUUCUGUAGGACUUGAGAUAAGAGUGGAAUGAGUGGAAAGGCAUCCAUGAGAUUAGCAGGACAAUGCCUCUAAAGCCCUGACCUAGAGUCCCUCUGAGCAGUACAUUUUGCAAUUCUUGAUGGCUUGGGAUGCAAAGAGGUCCUAAUAUAGGGUUUUCCACUAAAUUGUGUAACAUCCACUCAUGGUCGGUCAAGCAAUGAGGCUGUCUGCUGAGAACUGUGUUUUCCAAGAAGUGAACUGUUGAUAGGGUAAUCUCAUGGUGAGUGCCCCAGGUUCACAGACUGACUGCUUCUAUGUAGAGGGGAGUGGAUCUUGCCCCUCCCUGCUGUUUGAUGUAGAACACUGUAGUCCUGUUAUCCAGCAUCACUAGAAUAUGAUUGGAUCAUAUAACUGGUAAAAAAGCUUUGCAGGCUUCCUGGACAGCUCUCUUCUAGUAGGUUUAUAUACAUUCUAGCCUCCUGAGAAGUCCAUAUGCCUUGUCCUAUAUCCAGGUGGGCACCCUAAAAAGUAGGAAUUCAUCUGUGUUCAGCAUUCUCUCGAGUGUGGGAGGGAGGAAGAGGACCCCCCACACUAUUCCUUGUUCAUCUACCACUUUAGAGAAUCCUUCAGUCUGGAAUGGAACAUUACUACUGUGUCCAUGCUGUGUUUUCUUGGCACACAAUCUGUUUCAAGCAACAUUUAUAGACAACUGAGAUGAAACCUUGCAAAAGAUGUCACAUGGGUGCAUGACACUAUGUGACCCAAGAGGAUAAGGCAGAAACAAACUGAUGUCUGUGGACUCUUCUUGGUUGAUUAAAUUGUUCAUUGACGGGAAGCUGUCUAAGGGAAGAUAAGCUUUUGCCCUGAUAGAGUCCAGAGUUGCUCUGAUAAAUUCUAUAGUUUGUGUUUCAGACAGGAUAGACUUUUCUAAAUUCACACAGCUCCCUAGUGAUGCCAGAAGAUUCAGCAGAGAUUAAGUUGAUGUCAGAACUUUUGACGAGAACUUGUGUAGCAAGAAUCAAUUAUCUAGGUAAGGAAAGACUGUCGAGCUGUGGCAAUGGACAUGUGCUGCUUCUACUGAGAAUACCUUUGUAUUGGGGUUGCUGUUGAGUCUUUUAUGCUGUGUUCACACUACUAGUUACAGGUUUCAGGUACAUAGUCAGCUAAGCCAUGUUUCUGCUACCCAUGCUACCAUCCCCACACUACUCCUGCUAGUUUGAUGUCAGGCACAUGGAAUGCAUGUGUAACACACAGUGAAAUACACAUAGGGACCAGCAUUCAAAGAACCUACUGAUCCCACUGUUAAAGUAACAUCACCAAAACAUUCACAGGGGAGAGCAAAAGUAAUAUUUGUCCCACACGACAAUGGCAGCACUUUCCCUUGCUUUCACAGUUCCUGACACAAUCACAGGAAUGCAUGCAGGAGGACAUUUUACCCCUCAUACCACAAUUACCUUGAAAAUAUCAGUGGCUGGCUGCAGGACUAGCCAACUGCUGAAAAUUGGAUUCUUGACUCUGGUAGUAGUCAGAUUUGGAGUCAAAAUCUGGAUUUUAAAUUUUAAAUACUAGAGGAGAAGGAAGGAACUCAGGAUUAUAAACCUCUCGGCUUACCUUUGAAUUUUGGAUCAGUCAUUUUGGCUAAGUAAUGGAAAGUUUCCAAAGCAUUGUUUUUUCAAUGUUGUCCUUACGUUGUUACAGAUUUUUGUUAAUUAGAUCACACCAGAGUUCCACUCAAACUGCAACAGUAAUCAUAAAGUAAUCUGUCAAGUCCCUCUGAAACCUCUUUCAAUGUUUUUUUUAAAACAUAAUACCUCUCUGUAGAGUCCUUUAUUGUGUAAAGAAUGUGCUGUGUUAUGACUAAAGGCCUCCUUGUGUACAGUGCAAAUUUCAUCAGACUUGGGACAGCUGAACAUAAAUUCAAGACUACAGUCCUCCUGAAAGUUCUCUUGAGCAUUAUUGAGAAGGCUUAUCUGUUCUGGGCUUCCCUAAAAGAGCAAGUGCCAGAGAGGCCAAGGAAUGAGACAGUGCUGCACCCAUUCAGAACAAGGUAAGCUGAAGGGCACACAGGCCCAGUAUGGUUGGACCAACCCACAGCAGCCAGCGAGUGUUCAACUCCAGCUCAGGGAGCUCUACCAAGGCUGAGAACAUAUUGGAAAAAGAUUUUCUGAUUGCAAAAUCUGAUUGCAAAAUUCUGGAUAAGUUCAUCAAAGCUGACUCGAUGAAGCAUGUCCGUUUCCAUACACAAUAGAAAAAGCAAUGAUGCAGAACUGAAACCAGAAUAAUCAACUCUGACAGGAAAAGACAUUAAUAGGAGCAAGCAAAAUAAACUGGAGAUCUAAGUAAUGGCUAAUCAACCUAAGAGGAUUUACCUAAUUAAUCCUGUGUUGCAGAGCUAUCCAGAUUGCUUCUCAGUCUACUCCCUAUGUAACUAUUUAUUACUUACUGUUAGCUUUCUAGAAGAAGUAAAAACAUCUUGUAACAAGGAAGACUACAUUACCUAUUUUUGAACUGCUUUAUUGUUCUACUGCACAGGUAGUCCCCUAUACUGCUACUGUACAGUGAAAAUAUUUCCAGAAUUUCAAACAUUUUGCAAUCAUUCUUAAUCAUAGUCCAACUGAAAAGUCAAGAAAAAUAAUAAUUUUGAAAGUAAUAUUUUUUUAUAGUAUUACCUGUUUUCUUUAAAGACAUUGUGAAGGAAAACAAUAGUUAACUACCAGAAGGCUAGAUUGCCUGGGAUAGAUACAGUUGCAAAAUCUAGCCCUUAUAAAUAAAUGUAACUGUGGUCAUUUUUUUGUUUUGCUUGUUUUUUUCCUUUACAUAGUUACAUCAUUUGCUGAAGACAAUCUCACAAAAAGUAUUUUGUAAGAAAAAAAAAGCAAAUGGUUAAUGUUUAAAGAACAUAUUUUUGGAUACAUUUUAAAUAUCUACAAAGAAAUUUCAGAAUGUGGUAGAUAUGUGUCAUGUAUACUUUUAGUCUAAGUAAAGCAAUCAUAUGAAGAGAUUUUAAAAAUAGAUUAAGUGUUUUAUAAUCUUGCCUACACUAGCCAGCUGAAGGCUUUAAAUAAUUUAAUCCCUACAGCAACUGCCAGUCCCAACUGGAAUACUGAAACAAGGCCUGAAUUCAGUUGAAACCCAACAGCUGCAGUCUAAUAGUGCUUCCUUAAUUCAGCUACUGAUCUGAGUUUAUGCUUAUGGAGGACACUAUAUUCUUAAAUUCACUAGGGCAUUAAUUAAAUUAGUCUAAGUGCCUCAUGUUUUGUCCGAUCUUCCACUAUCAAAUUUACCUCAAACGUUACUCUAUUUUCUUCUCCUCCCUCCUACAAAUUCUUGGUUUUCAUGCCAGAUGCAAUACAAAUAGCUUUAAAAGCUUUUUAAUGUAACUAUCAUCUUAUAAUUUCUAUGCUAUUAUGAUGAAUUUGGGCUAUAUCUGUACAAAUUAUGAAUCUGGUUGAUACUGUGAAAAAGUGCUGUGUCGUGAAUGCCUAUAUGUAUGUGGCUCCACUAUUGCUGACAGGUCCUGUACUGUACACAAAGAGAGAAACACUGAAGUGGUGUUUAGGAUUCAUAAACAAUGGGUGAGCUCCAUCCUUAGAAAACCAGCUUUAGCUUAACUCUUCUGGGGUGGAAAAGGCAGGAAUGGUGGAAAGUUAUCUAAAGACAGAACAAAGGAAGCUGGGGCAGGGGAGUUGGGGUAGGAUGUAAAUAAUAAGUAAACACAUGCUCUCAGCACAGCCUGCAAGUGGGCUCUUGUCUCAAUUUCCCUCAAUUCCUUGCAUGAACUCAGAAUAGCCGUCAGAGUACAUGAACAGCCCUUUUGUGAGAAGCCUUUUUUUACCAAAACUACCACUACCAUAAACCAGAACCCUCCCCCCACCCCAAUACAAUCCAAACAGAACAUUCAUCCCCACAUCCAACAUCUCUCACCAAACCCCAUCUUGGGUACAGUUCUGGCAUCUCUCUCACCAUGGUUCAGCUCAGUUGAGGUAUCUCUGACCAUGGCUCACCCCAGCUCCUAUAUAUGGGAUCUUUCACCACCCUGUUUCCUUCCCAGUUAUGUUUCCAGGCAGCUCUUGCCUGGAGACAUCUGCCAGUUCAGCCUUCCAUCAUUCCCAGCCUUCAACCCUCUCUAGUCCUCCAACUUCAGGUCUCUAGCUCAGAUAGCCAGCAAGCAUCUCCCUCUCCAGCUCUCAGCCUUCAGCCCUCUCCAGCCCAGCUUUGAUGUUCUAGUAUGGGCUGCCACUCGGGUGGACAGCACUUGGUGCUGGGCGCACAGUCCUUUUGUAACCUCUCAUUGCUGCGCGAAUUAUUACAAGUCAUGUGACUAUUUCCUGCUACAAGUUCCCACCAAACUUCAAAAAGAACACCAACUGGGCAAUAAAGAAAGGGGACUAACAUGGAGGGCAAACAACAACUCAGGCAAAAAAAAAAUGGCAAAACCAGCCAAAAAAGUGAAAUUGCCCCUAUUGAGAGAGAGGAAAUCCUCUGCCGCAGUGGCCUGCCCAGAGCCGGCUCUAGGUUUUUUGCUGCCCCAAGCUCCGAGAGCGCAACUGCUCAGGCAAAAAGAAGAAGAAGAAAAAAAAGGAUGGCCGGAAUGCUGCCCCCAGAAUUGUGCGCCCCAAGCAUGUGCUUGCUUUACUGGUGCCUGGACUGGCCAUGGGCCUGCCAUAUGAAUUUGAGCUGAUCCACUAACAGGUGUUCUUUAUCAUAAUAGUAUUCAGUUUAGCUGCAAAAAAAAUAGCCUGAUGCAUGACUGAAGUGUGUUGUGCCCCCUGCAAGAGUCUAGUCUUUCCAACUGGGAGAACCACCAUGCUUUUGCAAGGUGCCUGUUGCUGAGUCAUUGGCCCAUCUACCUUGGGGAGAAAUUUAUUUUACCUGAACCUGUUUUACUCUAGUUCCCCACUGAGUUCCCUCCCUGCUGAGCAGCAGCAGGAGCUCUGUGCCAUUGAAGAAGCCUGCUAUCAAGCCAAGGUGAGAAGUACAAGGUAGGAUUUCAUCAUGGGCAGCUUGUGAACCACCGGCUGGGGGAGGCCAGCCCCCCCAGCCCUCCCCUUCUGUCUGAGGCCUCACCCGUAUCUACCCCGAGCCCAGAACCCUCCUCACCGCUGCUAUCAGCCUCAAGCCCCACCCCAGGCUAGGCCCCGCCCCAGAGCGUCGGGAAGUCGGGCAGGCGGUGCUGCUGCAGUACCCACAGCCCUGGCUGGAGGACAGGGGAACUGGAGGUUGGCGCCACACGCAGGCAGAGUGGUGGUAAGCAGGAGCGGGGGAACCUGGGCAUGGCAGAGCAUGGGUGGGGCCACGCCUGGCUGUUUGGGGAGGCACAGCCUCCCCAGCCUAUGGGACCACCACCCAUGGAUUUCAUUAUUUCCAUGAGUCAAGUCGCAGACAAUCUAGGCAAAAUCUGUGUUUAAGAAUAGCUUAAUGGAGCGCUGCAUGGCCCAGAGGAUAUGAAGGGAUACAAAAAUUUUCUCUUUCAGGUCACCAAGUCAGCUCUGACCCAGGUUGGUAGCUACCAAAGUCAUGCUUGCAAGAUUUAUUGUAUGAAAUAGUUGGUGGUCUCAGUCCAGUUCCCAGUGGAUAGGUUCAUAUCUGUCUCAGCAGCAAGGUCAAAAAGUAAAUGGAGGCUUGUGACAAAGUGUGGAUUUUCCCUUGUUAUGUUGUUUGUGAGUCUUACUGUUGAGCCUAUGUGAGUUUUACUGUUUUGCAAGAAUACGUGUGCCUCAGUUUUCCUGUGUGCUGCACCAAUACCUCGGUGGUAGGAAUAGGGGUGUGUGACUUUGGCUGAGACUCUGGGGCAGGUGAAACUGCUCCAGCUGCCUGCACAUAUUCUAUGACUGGUGCCGUUCAUAAUCUGAGAUCCAGGAGGGGGAUGUAACCAGAUGACUCUUUGCCCGGGAAGUGAGACAAAGAGAAGGAGGAGGAGCAACGAGGGUGUCUGAGGUCGAGUUGCUGGAAGCUGGCAGUCUGCUUGGGGGGACUGGAAAAGAGGGAGUCCAGGCCACCUGGUCCAGGACUCCCCAAGAUGGACUUGACUGAAAGUCACUGAGUUUUGUGCUAACAAGUUCUGUUCUAUGCUGUGUUCCUGUCAACUAAUAAAUCUUCCAUUUU